CAGAGAUGAGAAUGUGCCUUCGGGAACCGUGAGACAGGUGCUGCAUGGCUGUCGUCAGCUCGUGUUGUGAAAUGUUGGGUUAAGUCCCGCAACGAGCGCAACCCUUAUCCUUUGUUGCCAGCGGUCCGGCCGGGAACUCAAAGGAGACUGCCAGUGAUAAACUGGAGGAAGGUGGGGAUGACGUCAAGUCAUCAUGGCCCUUACGACCAGGGCUACACACGUGCUACAAUGGCGCAUACAAAGAGAAGCGACCUCGCGAGAGCAAGCGGACCUCAUAAAGUGCGUCGUAGUCCGGAUUGGAGUCUGCAACUCGACUCCAUGAAGUCGGAAUCGCUAGUAAUCGUGGAUCAGAAUGCCACGGUGAAUACGUUCCCGGGCCUUGUACACACCGCCCGUCACACCAUGGGAGUGGGUUGCAAAAGAAGUAGGUAGCUUAACCUUCGGGAGGGCGCUUACCACUUUGUGAUUCAUGACUGGGGUGAAGUCGUAACAAGGUAACCGUAGGGGAACCUGCGGUUGGAUCACCUCCUUACCUUAAAGAAGC
rnacentral:rRNA from 3 species